UACAGAGGUCUCAAGCGUUGUUCGGAUUCAUUGGGCGUAAAGGGUGCGUAGGCGGCGCGGUAAGUCGGGUGUGAAAUCUUGGAGCUUAACUCCGAAACUGCAUUCGAUACUGCCGUGCUUGAGGACUGGAGAGGAGACUGGAAUUUACGGUGUAGCGGUGAAAUGCGUAGAUAUCGUAAGGAGACCAGUGGCGAAGGCGGUCUCUGGACAGUUCCUGACGCUGAGGCACGAAGGCCAGGGAGGCAAACGGG
rnacentral:rRNA from 1 species